rnacentral:lncRNA from 1 species
AGUAUCUAUCCCAAAGACCAGGGAGAAAGGAAGGAAAGAUUCUGGUUCUGUCCUCUUCCCCAAGGCAAGGCUGGCUGCCCUACCAACAGAGGCAAAGAGAAGAGUGUGCAAGGCUGGCUGCCCUCCCAACAGAGGCAAAGAGGAGUGUGUGUUGAAAUAUCCAUUGAAUCCCUGAGACAACUGGAUCCUGGCCCAUUGAAUCAUAAACUCAGUUAUUUAGAAAAUUGUUACCUCAAAAAUGACCUAGGGGUCCUUAGAAUAAUAACACACAGAAGAAUAGCCUCAUUUUUCUGUUGGGCCCAGGAAACCAUGCCGAUUACCGACCGAGCUCUCAAUGGAAAAAUGCAGUCGGCGUGAACCACGCACGAACACAGCAGAGAAAGAAGAAAACACACACCACGAGGAACCCUAAUAGGACAAUACAUUAUAAGUCACAGUGCUACGGAGAAACCCAGUAGCCACAUGGAAGCAGAGACCAUGCAUAUGCAUCUACUCCGCAGCUCUGUGAAUGUCAGCAGCUCCCACGGACUGGAGAUCCCGUGAGAUCCCGUGAGAUCUCACCCAUAGCCUCAUGGUACAUCCACUUGGUGUGCUGGGAGAGUCAGGAUGAGGACCUGAGAAGAACAGCAGCUUGAACCUGACUUCAUUUAACAGCCCACUGCCCUCUUGCCAAGAACCCAUCACAGACCUUCCCAGAAGAGAGGGAUGAGCCUCACCUAUGAAUAAGUCCUCAGAAACUCAAAUUUGAUUCUAAUGGAUUGUUUUCUCAGAAAGACUGAGCAUGUCCCCCCACAUCUCUGUCAUUUCCCACAGUAGUAACCUCUGCAGAUGCCACAUAGAAAACAAAACAAAACAAAAAAACAUGAGGUUGGUGGGCAGAUAGGCAGGGUAUAAACAAACAGCCUUGUAACCCAGAAGCUGUGUGAUAUACAGUAAACUUCACAACACUGAAAAGAUGUCCUAUCUGUUAAAAUGGGGUAAUAACAACUACCCGAAUGUUUAGGAAUAGAACUUCAAUAAAUGAUACAUUUUAUAGUACAGCAGACCAUCCUGUAAAGGUUUCAUCCUUCACUGUGGUGAUAAAUAUCCCAAACCACAUUGAAAA